GUUGCUUCUUAUUGAUGAACUCUCUUAAAUUGAGAUGAGGGAUGUUUAUGUUUUGGAAGCAUAAAUUGAGAUGAAAUGUUGUUUCAUUGCCAGUAUUAAACAGCGUGAUGUGUUUUAUUAUCUAUCUUGCAUCAUGUUACCUGUCUCCUGGUACAUUU
rnacentral:snoRNA from 1 species